rnacentral:rRNA from 1 species
UACGUAGGGUGCGAGCGUUGUCCGGAAUCAUUGGGCGUAAAGGGCUCGUAGGCGGUCCAUCGCGUCGGGAGUGAAACGCUGGGGCUUAACCCCAGUCCUGCUUUCGAUACGGGUGGACUAGAGGUAGGCAGGGGAGAAUGGAAUUCCUGGUGUAGCGGUGAAAUGCGCAGAUAUCAGGAGGAACACCGGUGGCGAAAGCGGCUCACUGGACCAUUACUGACGCUGAUGCACGAAAGCUAGGGGAGCAAACAGG